rnacentral:piRNA from 5 species
UGUAGUCCCAGCUACUCGGGAGGCUG